AAAAGAAGAUCAAGAAGAGCUUCAGAAUGAAGCUUUCUUGAUGGAGGGGAGCGGCAGACGGGUGAGUAACACGUGGGAACAUACCCAUCUCUGCGGAACAACUCCGGGAAACUGGAGCUAAUACCGCAUACGCCCUUCGGGGGCAAGGGUUAUCGGAGAUGGAUUGGCCCGCGUUGGAUUAGCUAGUUGGUGGGGUAAAGGCCGACCAAGGCGACGAUCCAUAGCUGGUCUGAGAGGAUGAUCGGCCACAUUAGGACUGAGACACGGCCCAAACUCCUACGGGAGGCAGCAGUGGGGAAUAUUAGACAAUGGGUGCAAGCCUGAUCCAGCCAUGCCGCGUGAGUGAUGAAGGCCUUAGGGUUGUAAAGCUCUUUCACCGAUGAAGAUAAUGACGGUAGUCGGAGAAGAAGCCCCGGCUAACUUCGUGCCAGCCGCCGCAGUAA
rnacentral:rRNA from 1 species